AGUGAACGCUGGCGGCAGGCCUAACACAUGCAAGUCGAACGGCAGCACAGUGGAGCUUGCUCCAUGGGUGGCGAGUGGCGGACGGGUGAGGAAUACAUCGGAACCUGCCCAGUCGUGGGGGAUAACGUAGGGAAACUUACGCUAAUACCGCAUACGACCUACGUGUGAAAGCAGGGGACCUUCGGGCCUUGCGCGAAUGAAUGAGCGGAUGUCGGAUUAGCUAGUUGGCGGGGUAAAGGCCCACCAAGGCGACGAUCCGUAGCUGGGCUGAGAGGAUGAUCAGCCACACUGGAACUGAGACACGGUCCAGACUCCUACGGGAGGCAGCAGUGGGGAAUAUUGGACAAUGGGCGCAAGCCUGAUCCAGCCAUACCGCGUGGGUGAAGAAGGCCUUCGGGUUGUAAAGCCCUUUUGUUGGGAAAGAAAUCCAGCUGGCUAAUACCCGGUUGGGAUGACGGUACCCAAAGAAUAAGCACCGGCUAACUUCGUGCCAGCAGCCGCUGUAACAC
rnacentral:rRNA from 1 species